rnacentral:rRNA from 1 species
CUGAACCAGCCAAGUAGCGUGAAGGAUGACUGCCCUAUGGGUUGUAAACUUCUUUUAUAUUAGAAUAAAGUGCAGUAUGUAUACUGUUUUGUAUGUAUAAUAUGAAUAAGGAUCGGCUGACUCCGUGCCAGCAGCCGCGGUAAUACGGAGGAUCCGAGCGUUAUCCGGAUUUAUUGGGUUUAAAGGGAGCGUAGGUGGUCUGGUAAGUCAGUUGUGAAAGUUUGCGG